rnacentral:rRNA from 1 species
UACGUAGGGUGCAAGUGUUAAUCGGAAUUACUGGGCGUAAAGCGUGCGCAGGCGGUUUUGUAAGACUGUCGUGAAAUCCCCGGGCUCAACCUGGGAAUGGCGAUGGUGACUGCAAGGCUAGAGUUUGGCAGAGGGGGGUAGAAUUCCACGUGUAACAGUGAAAUGCGUAGAUAUGUGGAGGAACACCGAUGGCGAAGGCAGCCCCCUGGGUCAAAACUGACGCUCAUGCACGAAAGCGUGGGGAGCAAACAGG